GGAAAUAAAAGUGAAACGCGCCACAGCGCACAAUCGGGCCCCUUAGUGCAUGGGCCACCCGGUGGGCCUCCUUAGCAUGUGGGUCCCCGGCAGCACUGGCGGGCCUAUGGAGGAGAAAAAGAAAUGGUUGAGGUUGCCCUGUUUGCCCCGUCUUUAACAUGGGGCGAACAGGGCAGCUGCUUCGGUCCCCCCAGGAGUAACUAGGCCCGGGGCAGCUGCCCUGUUUG